AGUACAAGUGAUCCACAUUGCAAUGUUCUUGAUAGAGAUUCAUUUGAAAUAAGUGCCGUUUGGUAUUUCUGUGUUCUCUCCUCAAACAUAUCUGAUUAAACAUUGUACAUCUAUAGGGAGCGACAGAGAGAACAUUUGUUCUGCUCAGUCAUGGAGGCAGCAGCCUGAAGAGAAAUCCAAUGUCAAGAAGAUGGUGUUUGUGGUGUUCCUAUUGGGAAAUACAGCGUUCCUGGCUGCCUUUAUAACAACUAUUGCAAGUGUGUAAUGAUCACGAAUGAUUAUCUAUAUAAAUAUGUCUGGUAUUUGUUUUA